rnacentral:rRNA from 1 species
UACAGAGGUCCCAAGCGUUGUUCGGAUUCACUGGGCGUAAAGGGUGCGUAGGCGGUGAGGUAAGUCGGAUGUGAAAUCUCCGAGCUCAACUCGGAAAUGGCAUUGGAAACUACCUCGCUAGAGAGUUGGAGGGGGGACUGGAAUACUUGGUGUAGCAGUGAAAUGCGUAGAUAUCAAGUGGAACACCAGUGGCGAAGGCAAGUCCCUGGACAACUUCUGACGCUGAGGCACGAAAGCUAGGGGAGCAAACAGG